GAAUCAGUAUGUCGGUCGUGCCUCCGGUAUGUACUGGCGUCACUGGUUCCUCCCUUCUGACGAACCAUCAUGCUAUUAAUUUAGUGUGGUGGGAAAUCAGGACUGUUACUUUGAAAAAAUUAGAGUGUUUAAAGCAGGCUCACGCUUGAAUACAUUAGCAUGGAAUAAUGAAAUAGGACGUUGAUCCUAUUUUGUUGGUUUCUAGGAUUGACGUA
rnacentral:rRNA from 1 species